rnacentral:rRNA from 1 species
UACGUAGGGUGCGAGCGUUGUCCGGAAUUAUUGGGCGUAAAGGGCUCGUAGGCGGUUUGUCGCGUCGGGAGUGAAAACUCAGGGCUUAACCCUGAGCCUGCUUCCGAUACGGGCAGGCUAGAGUUCGGUAGGGGAGUCUGGAAUUCCUGGUGUAGCGGUGAAAUGCGCAGAUAUCAGGAGGAACACCGGUGGCGAAGGCGGGACUCUGGGCCGAUACUGACGCUGAGGAGCGAAAGCGUGGGGAGCGAACAGG